rnacentral:miRNA from 1 species
AUAAGUAGGUUUUAUUCGACUU